CAUCAGUUGCAAUCAUAAAUAAAAUCGUAGAAUUCAGUAGAAAAUUUGAUACUUUUUACAUUGAAAUCAAUUGAAAAAGAUUCAUUUUCUUGUGCUAAAAGUUACAGAGUAAAUAUAUAUGCGGUGUAUAUAAACUAAUCAUUUUUAUGGAUUUUAUACGGUCAAGAAAUGGUAUCGAGAGACUUCGCAAGAAGGCCACUGACAGAGGUUUUAUAGAGGAUCUAGAUUAUUACAAACUAUUAGAUAUUUUUUAUAAUAUUAAAAUAUGUAGAAUGUUUUAUGGGCAACUGUGGAC